CAGGGAGACAACAAAAUGUUUAAUAUUAUUAUUUUGUCACCUUAGGUCGAUCGGUAUCUCACAUUCUUAAUUUAUUAAGAAUUUCAUUUUCUAAGUUUUCUAGGUCACACCCAUUAUUUUUCCUGGGCCAUUAGCUCAGGUGGUUAGAGCGCACCCCUGAUAAGGGUGAGGUCCCUGGUUCAAGUCCAGGAUGGCCCAUAUCUCUAUGUUGGGGGUAUAGCUCAGUUGGUAGAGCGCCUGCUUUGCAAGCAGGAUGUCAGCGGUUCGAGUCCGCUUACCUCCACUGAUUACCACCUCUACCAUAAUCUGUAGAAAGGAAAAUUUUGUGUUGUGAUCAUCUUUCUGAACGAUUCUAGCUUCUUAAUAAAAUCAUUAAGAUUCUGGACUCAUUGAAUUUAUUUCAUUGUUUUCAGAGAACCUUGACAACUGCAUAGAUUAUUUUUAAAGACAAUUAGCAUCUUUAUGAUGCAGAUUUAUUAUUUGUGCGAAUGCAUUAAUAACAAUUCUAUUAAGCUGAUGCUUCAAUUUUGAAGUUAUU
rnacentral:tRNA from 1 species